rnacentral:siRNA from 1 species
AAGUCCUCGUGUUGCAUCCCUCUU